rnacentral:misc_RNA from 1 species
UACGGAGGGUGCAAGCGUUAUCCGGAAUCAUUGGGCGUAAAGCGUCCGCAGGCUGUCUGUUAAGUCAAGUAUUAAAUCUCGGGGCCCAACUCCGAGGCCGUGCUUGAAACUGGCAGACUAGAGUCUUUCAGAGGUGCGUGGAAUUCUGUGUGUAGGGGUAAAAUCCGUAGAUACACAGAGGAACACCAAAAGCGAAGGCAGCGCACUGGGAAAGUACUGACGCUCAUGGACGAAAGCGUGGGGAGCGAACGGG